rnacentral:rRNA from 1 species
AGUUUGAUCCUGGCUCAGGAUGAACGCUGGCGGUCUGCUUAACACAUGCAAGUCGAACGGAGUGCUUCGGCACUUAGUGGCGGACGGGUGAGUAACGCGUGAGAAUCUGCCCUUAGGACGGGGACAACAGCUGGAAACGGCUGCUAAUACCCGAUGUGCCGAGAGGUGAAACAUUUUAUGGCCUGAGGAUGAGCUCGCGUCUGAUUAGCUAGUUGGUGGGGUAAGAGCCUACCAAGGCGACGAUCAGUAGCUGGUCUGAGAGGAUGAUCAGCCACACUGGGACUGAGACACGGCCCAGACUCCUACGGGAGGCAGCAGUGGGGAAUUUUCCGCAAUGGGCGCAAGCCUGACGGAGCAAGACCGCGUGCGGGAGGACGGCCUAUUGGUUGUAAACCGCUUUUGAUAGGGAAGAAGUACUGACGGUACCUAUCGAAUCAGCAUCGGCUAACUCCGUGCCAGCAGCCGCGGUAAUACGGAGGAUGCAAGCGUUAUCCGGAAUUAUUGGGCGUAAAGCGUCCGUAGGUGGUUGUUCAAGUCUGCUGUUAAAGCGUGCGGCUUAACCGCAUACCAGCAGUGGAAACUGGGCGACUAGAGUGCGGUAGGGGUCAGGGGAAUUCCCAGUGUAGCGGUGAAAUGCGUAGAUAUUGGGAAGAACACCGGUGGCGAAAGCGCCUGACUGGACCUGCACUGACACUGAGGGACGAAAGCUAGGGGAGCGAAAGGGAUUAGAUACCCCUGUAGUCCUAGCCGUAAACGAUGGACACUAGGUGUUGCCCGUAUCGACCCGGGCAGUGCCGUAGCCAACGCGUUAAGUGUCCCGCCUGGGGAGUACGCUCGCAAGAGUGAACUCAAAGGAAUUGACGGGGGCCCGCACAGCGGUGGAGUAUGUGGUUUAAUUCGAUGCACGCGAGAACCUUACCAGGGCUUGACAUGUCCAGA